rnacentral:rRNA from 1 species
GUAGUCCACGCCCUAAACGAUGUCUACUAGUUGUCGGGUCUUAAUUGACUUGGUAACGCAGCUAACGCGUGAAGUAGACCGCCUGGGGAGUACGGUCGCAAGAUUAAAACUCAAAGGAAUUGACGGGGACCCGCACAAGCGGUGGAUGAUGUGGAUUAAUUCGAUGCAACGCGAAAAACCUUACCUACCCUUGACAUGUCAGGAACCUCCGAGAGAUUGGAGGGUGCCCGAAAGGGAACCUGAACACAGGUGCUGCAUGGCUGUCGUCAGCUCGUGUCGUGAGAUGUUGGGUUAAGUCCCGCAACGAGCGCAACCCUUGUCAUUAGUUGCUACGAAAGGGCACUCUAAUGAGACUGCCGGUGACAAACCGGA